rnacentral:lncRNA from 1 species
UUUAUAUGAAAUUUGUUUACUUUGUGAGUUUGUUUUCAACUCUCAUUGUUCUCCAAGGACUGGUUAGACUUAUCAAGUAACCCUUGUGGCGUAAACCCGUUUUUGUAUUUCGAACUUAUCACUUUGUACCCAAAGUGUGGUGUUCAAGUUAUACCGAGGUUCCUAUCAAUAUUGAUAGUGGGUCGAGGUUGCGUUUCUAUUACCUACCUUCCUAACCGUUACCAUCUCAACCUAAGCAUUCGUAUAAGUUUCGGGAUAACACACUUAUAUUGUGCUAGAUCAACUUGAGUACUUGGUUUACGUUCACCUAACAAUCUCCAUUCAUUCAAUAACCUCUUUGAACCAAUUUGAGCCUUUAUUCUUUCUUUCUUAACCUAUCUUCGACAAACCUUAAUAUUACUCCAAUUCACGAUCGGGCACAUCAACGACUCGACUCUCAUCACCGAAGCCAGGGCGUAUCAAUGAUUGGCCUAAACACGAGGGCCCCAAGUGCAAGAUGAAGCUCAAUCUCAGCUCAACAAGCUCAAUCUUAGUUUUUCCCAGCUCGAUUUAGCUCACAUGAGCUUAAUUUAGUUUACUUUAGCUCGUUUGAGCUUGGCUUAAGUUUAUUUCAACUCAUUUAUUUUAAUGUCUGAAUAAAUUAAGUAAUUUAUUAAUUUAGCUUAAAUUACUACAGCUCAUAAUUAUGUUUUGACUUAUUACAUGUUUUAAAUGUGUCUUGGCCGAAUUUAAUAUGUCUUGUUAAGACUUUAUUAAAUUUGUCUAAUUUAAUUUAUGUUUAAUUAGUGUGUCUAAAUUAUAUUAAUGUUUGUUCAGCUGAAUUUUAUGUGAUUUAAUUUUGGUUCAUGUGUUUUUGUAGGUGAGCUGAAUUUGGAGAGUAAUUAAACAAGGUUCAUGCAUGAUAGGUUCAAUGUAUGGGAGUGUGCAUGCACAAUUGAGGUUCAAUGGAUGGCAUUUAAAGGAGCACAUGCAUUUGGCACGUUCAUGCAAGAGGGAGUUGCUGAAAGUUCAUGUAUUUGAAGAUUCAUGGAUCAUAUUUAUGGGGGGAAAAUACAUGGGACGUUUCAUGCAUGAUUCAUGCAUUUUCAAGAUGACCAUUCAAGUAUUUUAGGCACAUUAAUGCCUCAUUCAGCCAAGGGAGAUGUAGGAUCAUUAAAGAGCUGCACAUUCAUGGAUUUAUGGAGAUUCUUCAAGGCUAAGGAUGCAUGAAUGCAUCAAGUGAAGCAUCAUGAUGGUUCGGCCAAUUCAUGUACCAUCUUCAAGCAUGAACUAGAUUUUAAUGCUAUUUGUGUGAACAUGUUAAAUACCUGUGUGAACAGAAUUUAAGUUAGUGUGAACAACAUAGAUGCCAAAUAUCAAUAGGCAUUUUAGGCUUAUAAAUAGCUUACUUGUUUAUUGUAAAAGGUUACGGAAUUUGAUCAAUUAAACUUAAUAGAACUUUUGUUCUUGUGAGGUUACCUCCUCUCUUCUUUCGUUCGAGUCUCGAAGCGACUUAUCUAGCUUACUAGUGGUGUCAAUCCGAACUCCAUUGAACUUAUCACCGAAUCGGUGUGGCGUUCAACCAUAUUUUUAUACCUUUGGUUCUUACCUCUAUACUUUUUAGUAUUGAACAUUCUUGACGUUUAAGUUUUAUUUUCCAUCUCCAUCAAUUACCUUUUUCUAACCUACCUUGUUCCUAUUCUAAACCGAAUUUAUCAACACCAAACCACUCAUCUAAACCCUCUCAAAGCUUCCGCAACCCUUAGCCUAAAUCACCCAAUUUUGACAACUCCAACUACUCCUCGUAGACGAUCGGGCAACUUUGUGAAACGACUCGAUUAACCUGGGCCGGAUCACAUCAAAUAGGUUUGUCUUACGUUAUCUAUCCAAAGAGAGAAGAUUCAUUUUGACCGAGAAAGGUAAAUCCAAU